UACAGGGGGUGCAAACGUUGCUCGGAAUCAUUGGGCGUAAAGCGCACGUAGGCGGUCUGUUAUGUCGGAUGUGAAAGCCCUCGGCUCAACCGGGGAACUGCGUGUGAUACUGGCGGGCUUGAAUUCGGGAGAGGGAUGUGGAAUUCCAGGUGUAGCGGUGAAAUGCGUAGAUAUCUGGAGGAACACCGGUGGCGAAGGCGGCAUCCUGGACCGAGAUUGACGCUGAGGCGCGAAAGCAUGGGGAGCGAACGGG
rnacentral:rRNA from 1 species